rnacentral:lncRNA from 1 species
CAGAAGCUCUUUACUUAGCAGAACACCACACAGCCCAGCAGUUGCUUGUCACAGCUGUAAUUAGAUUAUAUCAAACCAGCAGUGUUGAAACAUUGCAUUGCCUCACUCAGCUGUAACUCCUGAGCUCCUCCAAAGCCCUGAGCUUUCCACAGUGAUACCUAGGGAGGAGAGUGGUGGUGGUGGGAGACAAGUGAUGAUGGGUCAUACCCUGGGAGGUGUUAAAACACACUGGUCAGCUCUUCUCUUUCUCUGGCUGCCCUCUCUAGUUAGAGGGGCUCUGCAUAUUGCAGGGAGCAUUCAGCAUCAGGUGCUGGAUGACUUCAGCUGUGUAUACAGGCAGCUAUGCAGCCAUCCGUUAUGCUGAAGCUCUGCUGGCCCCAAGAAGACUGCUUCAGAACACAGGGGACAGAUUUACAAAUCCAUUUUCGUAGUUUAAUGUGCUUCUUUCUAAAAUGAGUUUUUCUUUUAAUUUACCCCCAGGGCUGGGUCUUCAGAUCUCAUACCCGCUGACGCGUUAUAAAGUAAAAUAAUGCCCAGCCAAACUGCUGGUACAAUGAAAAGAAAUUAUUCUACUCUGUUACUUUGUUUAUAACUUUCUACAUUUGAGAGGAGAUGAAAGUUGUUGAGCUUGCAUCCUUGGAGAAUAAAAU